GACGAACGCUGGCGGCGUGCUUAACACAUGCAAGUCGAACGGAAAGGCCCUGCUUUUGUGGGGUGCUCGAGUGGCGAACGGGUGAGUAACACGUGAGUAACCUGCCCUUGACUUUGGGAUAACUUCAGGAAACUGGGGCUAAUACCGGAUAGGAGCUCCUGCUGCAUGGUGGGGGUUGGAAAGUUUCGGCGGUUGGGGAUGGACUCGCGGCUUAUCAGCUUGUUGGUGGGGUAGUGGCUUACCAAGGCUUUGACGGGUAGCCGGCCUGGGAGGGUGACCGGCCACAUUGGGACUGAGAUACGGCCCAGACUCCUACGGGAGGCAGCAGUGGGGAGUAUUGCACAAUGGGCGGAAGCCUGAUGCAGCAACGCCGCGUGCGGGAUGACGGCCUUCGGGUUGUAAACCGCUUUCGCCUGUGACGAAGCGUGAGUGACGGUAAUGGGUAAAGAAGCACCGGCUAACUACGUG
rnacentral:rRNA from 1 species